AGUGAACGCUGGCGGUAGGCCUAACACAUGCAAGUCGAACGGCAGCACAGGAGAGCUUGCUCUCUGGGUGGCGAGUGGCGGACGGGUGAGGAAUACAUCGGAAUCUACUUUUUCGUGGGGGAUAACGUAGGGAAACUUACGCUAAUACCGCAUACGACCUACGGGUGAAAGCAGGGGAUCUUCGGAUCUUGCGCGAUUGAAUGAGCCGAUGUCGGAUUAGCUAGUUGGCGGGGUAAAGGCGCACCAAGGCGACGAUCCGUAGCUGGUCUGAGAGGAUGAUCAGCCACACUGGAACUGAGACACGGUCCAGACUCCUAAGGGAGGCAGCAGUGGGGAAUAUUGGACAAUGGGCGCAAGCCUGAUCCAGUCAUACCGCGUGGGUGAAGGAGGCCUUCGGGUUGUAAAGCCCUUUUGUUGGGAAAGAAAUCCAGCUGGUUAAUGCCCGGUUGGGAUGACGGUACCCAAAGAAUAAGCACCGGCUAACUUCGUGCCAGCAGCCGCCGCCG
rnacentral:rRNA from 1 species